AAGUAUCUCUGACUGGUGAGCAGAUAAUGAAAAAGGAUCUUGAUUUUGCAAAGGUUUUCAAUUCUUGUUCUGCUAUCAAGUACCUCAGCUUGAAUAUCUCUUGUUACUGGGGAUCUGCUCAAAAGGGAUAUGAAGCACCAAGGCUUCCCUUUGAUCUUAACAGUGUCAAACGGUUUGACCUGCUUGAACUUGAGCUGGUGGAUGCAUAUGAGCUCUCAUUGUCUAUUAACUUGCUUAGAAGUUUCCCGUACUUGGAACAUCUUGAAAUUGAUGUUUUCCAUGAAGAUGAAGAUAGUGGUACUGAAGAAUCCGAUGAACUUAAAGGUCUGUCAGACGUGACAUUUAGUCACCUCAGGGAAAUUAGGGUAUACGCCGUUGAUGGAAGAACAUCUGAGAUGCAGCUUAUCAAGCUUUUGUUAGCCAAUUCCCCGG
rnacentral:misc_RNA from 1 species